AUCCACAACCCAUCCAUUAUUCAUGAGUUUUAACUAUAAUUAUAUACACUAUAAGAGGCUUGUGAAGAUAAAAUGCAGAAGAAAUCUGAACAGAGGCAUACGGUCUUGGAGUCUCCAAAGUCCCCAAGGGCACUGCUAGCAAUUGAGUACAACCUCAGUUUGUGGGGUUUCCCAUUCUUGUCAACACCAUCCGCAAUAACCCCAA